rnacentral:lncRNA from 1 species
CUGGGACGGGCCCCAGGGACACCACGCUGGUCAGAGCAAUUAAAGUGGGUUUAUGGUGCCUUCUCCACCCAGGAGUGGGGCGGGGGGGGGCAUGGGAGAAGGGGCUCCAGGGCCAAGGCUGAGCAGCAGAGGCGAUGCGUGGGAAGGAGGGAGAACAAACGCUGCCUCACUUGCAGGAUGAGUCUGCAGAGCCAUGCUGCACCACCACGACGAGGAACGAGUUUAAGCCUCUGUGGUCACACAUGCAGUCAAUCUGGACCGAUUCUCAGCUGGAAGAUAAACCCAGUCAGUGCCUGGGGUUCCUCUCGCCUCCCGUCUUCUCCCAGCGUGGCUGCCUGUAGCUUGGCAGGCAGACACCCUUUGGCAAGGCACCACAUCCACAGCUUCCCCCGUUCCCUGGCUGUGCUGUCAGCACGCCGCGUGCUGUGCGUGCAUCCCAGUGAGCUCCUGAGGAUCCAGCCGCCCCGACAGCCUCGCAGGGCACAGCGGGGUUGAACCCCGGUGGUUCCCAGGUGCUGCUGGCAUUGAAACCGGGCCUGCAGGGAUGGCAGUCACAGCAGGACUCUCACUCAUCCCUGCAGAGCUUUUGUAGCUCCUGGUGGCUUUGUAGCUGACUGAUCAUGGCAGCUCAGUAGGGCUGGCUUACACAAGUUUUGCCUGCUGGAUGCUGAUCCUCAGCACUGACCUUACACACGAGGAUGGGAAAAGAGCAGUGUUUUCCCAGCUCUGUUUUCUGAAUAUCCACUUGACUUUGGUCAAUGGGUUCAGUCAGCACUCUUAAAUAAGUGAAACCACCCAUCCCAGCAGUACUGUACUCUGUCUUAUAUACAAGUUGCUACUGGAGACAAAAAUCAGGAAUAGUUUCAGCUGAUGGGAAUUUUUCAAUUUUUGUUUUCUUCUAUAAAAUUUUGCAUCAUAUAAAGAGCUAGCCAAAAAUAUUGAACUUCGAAGAGGAAAACAGUCUCCCUCUUCAGCUGGCUCUAUUGUUCACAUCUUUGAUUAUUUUCUUCUUUCUGUGGACCAGUAAUAUUGCCCAGUUAAAAGGAACUGGACUGAUUUUGAUCUUCUACAAGUACGACUGUAGUUAUUGCUGAAUUAUGCCAGAAUAAGUGAGAUCAGAGCUGGGCUCAAAAUCCUGCUUCUCCAGAGCUUUAUGAUCAAAGCUAUGUUGUGCAAGAAACAGAGAAAGGGUGAAGGGAAUAGAAGACAAUUAGCUUUAUUGCAGUCCAGAGAAAGGUCAGUGCAUCAGCUGUGCUACGCUCUUUGCCCUUUGGCUGCCUUGGAGGAGGGAAAAUUCAUGUGCCUUAGCCCCAUCCUGGCUCUUUAAAGUUGCAUCACUUUCAUCCCAGCUGAUUUCCUGGCUCUGUCUGGCUGCAUUCUUGGACCCAGAGAUGCUGAUUAUCAGCAGUGCCAGCCCCAUUAGCCACCCAUCCUCACUGGGGACGUUUGGCUGAACUUGUGCCUCUGAGGCCAUGCCUGUUCCUGCCAGGCUCCAAUCUGUUUCUUUUUCUUCAGCAGGUCAGGGACUUACUGCAUGGCACAUGGAGCACAGCAGCGGCAAUCCCAUAAUUUCUUGUUUCUGCCUUCUGCUGAUUGGAAUGUCCUAGACAGGCAAGUUUGGAGAGAGGAAAAAUGCUGUCUGCGCACCAGGUCUUGGAGGGGGUUUCAUUUUGGAUGGUGCAAAGCACUGAGGGAUGUGUGCAAGGGGGGAAACCAGAAGCAUCUGGUGAAAGGCUUUAACACAGGCUGCCAGGGAGGCAAUAGAUGAGUGACCAGUGAGUCACUCAGCAGGCACUGAGUCAGGGAGACCUUACUGUACAGGCUCUUACUCAGCUGAAGAAGGUUCUCUGCUGCCCAGAUGCACCAACCUGGUGAGGCCAAAUCCUGUCCUCUCAUUGCAAUGUCCCAGGCUGCAACCUGGAGGGCACUGAACAGGGUGAAGAGAAAAUCUCAGUGCAGGAACGAUAAUCACGUUUGGAAAAAUUUGAGCAAUAGUGUUAGUAUAAAUGCUGCUGGCUCUCGUCUUAGAGUAUUUCAAGUUCUUAGACCAGCAUUAUAGUUCCUAGACCAGAUACUACCCAAAGCAAAUGUCUCUGUCACAGGUGGAUGCACCUCCUUGAGGGGUGCAUCUCCUACCAGAAGGAAUCUGGCCAUUGCUUGCUGCUGCCAUCUCCAGGCUGCUGUGGCAGAAACCUGGAGUCAGAUCUGUGGCCUUUGAUAGUUUAAUUCCUUCUCUGCAGGCGCAGCGUGUAUCCCAUGGAGCUGGGAUGCUUCAAAACCUAGCAGAAAUAAACAUUUACACAGCCUCA